rnacentral:rRNA from 1 species
AUUGAACGCUGGCGGCAUGCCUUACACAUGCAAGUCGAACGGCAGCGGACCUUCGGGUGCCGGCGAGUGGCGAACGGGUGAGUAAUAUAUCGGAACGUACCUUUCAGUGGGGGAUAACGUAGCGAAAGUUACGCUAAUACCGCAUAUUCUGUGAGCAGGAAAGCAGGGGAUCGCAAGACCUUGCGCUGAUUGAGCGGCCGAUAUCAGAUUAGCUAGUUGGUGGGUAAAGGCUCACCAAGGCGACGAUCUGUAGCGGGUCUGAGAGGAUGAUCCGCCACACUGGAACUGAGACACGGUCCAGACUCCUACGGGAGGCAGCAGUGGGGAAUUUUGGACAAUGGGCGCAAGCCUGAUCCAGCCAUGCCGCGUGAGUGAAGAAGGCCU